UACAGAGGGUGCAAGCGUUAAUCGGAAUUACUGGGCGUAAAGCGUGCGUAGGUGGUCUGUUAAGUCAGGUGUGAAAUCCUUGGGCUCAACCUGAGAAUUGCAUUUGAUACUGGCGGACUAGAGUGUGGUAGAGGGUAGUGGAACUCCCGGUGUAGCGGUGAAAUGCGUAGAUAUCGGGAAGAACACCAGUGGCGAAGGCGGCUACCUGGACCAACACUGACACUGAGGUACGAAAGCGUGGGGAGCAAAC
rnacentral:rRNA from 1 species